rnacentral:rRNA from 1 species
AGUGAACGCUGGCGGUAGGCCUAACACAUGCAAGUCGAACGGCAGCACAGUAAGAGCUUGCUCUUACGGGUGGCGAGUGGCGGACGGGUGAGGCAUACAUCGGAAUCUACUUUUUCGUGGGGGAUAACGUAGGGAAACUUACGCUAAUACCGCAUACGACCUACGGGUGAAAGCAGGGGAGCUUCGGACCUUGCGCGAUUGAAUGAGCCGAUGUCGGAUUAGCUAGUUGGCGGGGUAAAGGCCCACCAAGGCGACGAUCCGUAGCUGGUCUGAGAGGAUGAGCCGCCACACGGGAACUGAGACACGGUCCAGACUCCUACGGGAGGCAGCAGUGGGGAAGAUUGGACAAUGGGCGCAAGCCUGAUCCAGCAAUACCGCGUGGGUGAAGAAGGCCUUCGGGUUGUAAAGCCCUUUUGUUGGGAAAGAAAAGCAGCAGGUUAAUACCCCGCUGUUCUGACGGUACCCAAAGAAUAAGCACCGGCUAACUUCGUG